CUGAUCCAUGCAGAUGUGGAUGCUUGGAUCCAACGAUUAGACAGAACUCGGGGUCCCUAGUGGGGGAGCUGGCAAAGGGCUGGAGAAGCAGAGGAAAUUGCAACUUCAUAGGAAGAACAACACUGACUGGCCAGACUACACAGUGUUCCCAGUGAUUGACCACCAACCAAGGAGUGUACAAGGAAGAAUCCACGACUUCAGGCUAUUCUUGCAACUGUGGAUUUGAAGGAUUUAUGAAGACUCACUGAGAUGUCCUUUCAAGUAUAGAGAAAGCAUCCUUUGCUGCAAGUGACAGUCAACACUUUUUCAAUUGUGCCAAAGAACUGAAUCUAAGAGAAGCAUCACAAAACCCACACAGUUACCAUGAAGAUCAGUCCUGAUUGUGGUCUUUCCAUGCCUCCCAGUGGCCUCUGAGAAAUGCCAGUCCUGAUUUAAAUUGCCAUCACAAGACUAAUCACAGAUGCAAACACAAUGAAGAGCUGAUCUAGUGGAAGGAUUCAGAUAGAUUUCUCCUCCAUGAACUUGAAAUAAAUGAUAUUCAACAUUUGUACAGAUAUCUCAAAGCUUUGUUCUUCAUACUUCCAUUGCCGAAGGUCAGAUAGAAGAGAGAAAAUAGCACAGCAAGCCAUUUUGAGGGAAGCAAGAGGAAAAAAGAAGAAGAAAAGGAAUGAAAGAAAAUGGUCACAAAA